rnacentral:rRNA from 1 species
AACGCGAAGAACCUUACCUGGUCUUGACAUCCACGGAAGUUUUCAGAGAUGAGAAUGUGCCUUCGGGAACCGUGAGACAGGUGCUGCAUGGCUGUCGUCAGCUCGUGUUGUGAAAUGUUGGGUUAAGUCCCGCAACGAGCGCAACCCUUAUCCUUUGUUGCCAGCGGUCCGGCCGGGAACUCAAAGGAGACUGCCAGUGAUAAACUGGAGGAAGGUGGGGAUGACGUCAAGUCAUCGUGGCCCUUACGACCAGGGCUACACACGUGCUACAAUGGCGCAUACAAAGAGAAGCGACCUCGCGAGAGCAAGCGGACCUCAUAAAGUGCGUCGUAGUCCGGAUUGGAGUCUGCAACUCGACUCCAUGAAGUCGGAAUCGCUAGUAAUCGUGGAUCAGAAUGCCACGGUGAAUACGUUCCCGGGCCUUGUACACACCGCCCGU